GCUACAAUAGUUCAAAGGUUAGAAUACCAUGUUGUGGCCGUGGUGAUCCUGGUUCGAUUCCAGGUUGUGGCA